AGUAAAUAUACUACGACUCAACAUUAUUAAACCGUAAAGGUUCAAAUCAAACAACACAACUGCUUUUGUUCAGUGGGACUUUAAAAUGUUUGCCACAUUAAAUAAAUUAACUGGAUGUCUCCCGACAGCACGCAGACAUUUCGCAUUUAAGAUAUAAAUGCGCACCCAGCAAUAAACUUUCUAGCUGCUGUGCUCUAAACCAAAGACAAGUAGGUGAGUGUGACACAUUCAUAAAUGCAUGUGCUACCUAGAAUGCCAUUUUGGGGAGGGCCUGCGCGAGGACUGCGCGAGAGCUGAGCUCCGCGCGCUGCUGCUGCUGCUGCGGCUGUCUCAUGGCACGCGAGUGUGUGCAGAAUCCAGGUAAAUCCUUUAAGACGGCGGCGGUGACAGUCAUGACUACGCUCCCGACGAGUGAACUUGAAUACAUUUUGGCGCAUCCGAGAGAAGAAAAAACUCGCAUAUCUUCUCAGAAGAAACUUAUACGCAGGCUUCGGCGAAGACUGCAUCUUUAUUCCAUUCCUGUGACAGCAAUCGGAACCAGAAUCGGACCGUAAGCUCGACAAACUUUCCUACAAUUAAAAUAGUGGACGUAAAUCAAACAGCCUACAAGCUGGGUUGAUACAUCUCAAACAAUGGAAGUCAAGCAGAGCCCAGCGAUUUGACCCACAGCAUUAACAAGUCAGUGUUUAUGACAGAGGCCACGGAGGAGACCCACACACACAUUAUCCUGAGCCCGAUGCUUGUGUGAAACUCAACCCACGACUCUCUAAUGGAAGUUAACAUCAGCAUUCGAAGUGGACAUGUGCUGUCAGAUGCCAAAAUUGUGAUGACCUUAAUUAGCAGUUAGUUAAUUUGCAAUUUAAGACCGGGUCUGUUUGGUAAUAGAUGUGAAAUAAAGCCUAAUGAAUACAUCAGCUGUUAUGCAGUCAGUUUACUUCUAUUUAAAGUUCCUUAGCAGAGUAUUUUCUGAAUAUGUGACGGACGCACUGCUAAGGUGUAAGUUUCCUGACAGUAAUAUAAGACACAGAUGAGCGGCUGCUUCUGCCAGGGCAAGACAACACAUAGAAAUGCACAAAUGGCUUGAUAAAAGGCCGGGUACAUUCUUCUGCCAUGCCCUGCACCCACAACCAUGUAGUUUUCUGACAAUCCAUCACCGACGUGCGAGCCAAGGGCUAAAUGAAAACCAAAUAUGCCAUACCUGCAGAAAGCUGAGCCAGCUAACACAUGGGUGUCAGUUUGCUCAUGUCAUGUAGGAGCAUUUUAUGAGGUGAUGUUAAUGGGAUACAGAAAGAAGGUCCUUCUUCUGCACACUUCAUCUCGGGGUGUGUCAUCCUUCAGGCCUCCUGAACCUGCGCUGGGGUCAGAAACAGGAGAACCAGAUAGAUUAUCCAGACCAAAUACAAGUUGUUCACACACACACUGAGAAACAGAAUGCACUUUAAAGGUCACACAUCUUGUGGAUUCAUGUACUGGGUCAUAUAAAACACAUACCAGAUGUUAAUUUCCACCCAGAAAUGUUUCCUAAUUCUCUCUCGAUUGUGUGUCAGUAAUGUUAAAGAUAAUAAUAGAAGAAUUUCUGGUAUUCAUUUUAACUCCAGCCCUCACACCCACACGAGGACAACAAGUCACAUGCUUUCUCAUUGCCACCAGAAGCAACAAGUCAAACAGUCAGGAUAUAGACUUUCAGUAUAAACUCACAUUGGAUUUGAAUCUCGUAAAUUUCAAUAAAAGUGAAUCUUUGACACUGCCUCUUUCAUUCUGUCUUCUUUUUUUACAGAUUGAACCGGCUCAGUGACUGUAAUCACCGUGUUCUUCAUAAAUCGUCAAGAUGACAGUUAGUUUUAUCGUAUGCUGAUUGUAUAUCAUGACGAAUUUGUAAGACAUCAUUUUAAUCCACAGAACCAUAUUUCAAAUGUGAGACUGUCCAGAAACACAUGCUUUGAUCCAUGGCAGGAGUGUUUUUAAACCUUUUGAUGUCAAAAGAUCCCCAAGUAUGAUACCACAGUGAGAGACUCUCUUCCAAGCUGUACAGUACAAAAAGUUCAAAAGUGUCAGUAAAUGUUUCUUGAGCAAUAAAUCAUCAUGUUAGAAUAAUUUCUGAAGUAUCAUGUGACACUGAAGACUGGAGUAAUGACGCUGAAAAUUCAGCUUUGAAUCAGGAAUAUAGGACAUUUUAUAAUAUAUAUUUAAAAACAAAACAGUUAUUUUAAAUAGUAAUAGAAUGUUAAGUUAGUGUUUUACAUUAUUUUCAAUUAAACAAAUAUAGACUUGGUGAGCAAAAGAGAGCAAAAAAUAUUACCGACCCUAAACGUUUGCAUCUGUUGUCAUGUAUACAGACUCAUUAGUACUGUGUAGAAAUCACUGCAUACAAGCUAAAAAAAUGUAAUUAAUAUCUGGUUAAUAUUUAAUUUAUUUCUUUCACUAUUAGAAUAAUGCAUAUAUAAUCUUACAAAUAAGGGUUGUCAAUAGGGUUGUCUGAAUGAAACAGUAUAAUUUCAACAUAAUUAAAUACUUUUUUUUUUUUUUUAAUGUGCGCACUCCGAUUCCCCUGAUGCCAUUUUGAAAACUUCAGACCUAUAGGAUUAAUUUUGUGGUAAAACAACAGUCAGGUUCUCAA
ensembl:lncRNA